GAGGGUAGAGCUCAAAUGGUAGAGCACAUGCUUAGCAUGCACGAGGUCCUAGGUUCAAUCCCCAGUACCUCCU
rfam:Camelus ferus unplaced genomic scaffold scaffold2565, whole genome shotgun sequence.